rnacentral:rRNA from 1 species
UGGGGAAUAUUGCACAAUGGGCGCAAGCCUGAUGCAGCCAUGCCGCGUGUAUGAAGAAGGCCUUCGGGUUGUAAAGUACUUUCAGUGGGGAGGAAGGUGGUAAGGUUAAUAACCUUGGCAAUUGACGUUACCGACAGAAGAAGCACCGGCUAACUCCGUGCCAGCAGCCGCGGUAAUACGGAGGGUGCAAGCGUUAAUCGGAAUUACUGGGCGUAAAGCGCACGCAGGCGGUUGAUUGAGUCAGAUGUGAAAUCCCCGGGCUUAACCCGGGAAUUGCAUCUGAUACUGGUCAGCUAGAGUCUUGUAGAGGGGGGUAGAAUUCCAUGUGUAGCGGUGAAAUGCGUAGAGAUGUGGAGGAAUACCGGUGGCGAAGGCGGCCCCCUGGACAAAGACUGACGCUCAGGUGCGAAAGCGUGGGGAGCAAACAGG